rnacentral:ncRNA from 2 species
GGUCAAGAGCGCCAGCGUCAAGCCCCGGCUCGCUGGCCGGCAACCCUCCUCCGCGGUGGGGUGCCCCGGGUGAGGACCUGGCCGUGCGGGCAACAGGCCCGACGGCAAGCGCGGGCA